AUUGCACGCUGGCGGCAGGCCUAACACAUGCAAGUCGAACGAGUGGCGGACGGGUGAGUAAUGUCUGGGAAACUGCCCGAUGGAGGGGGAUAACUACUGGAAACGGUAGCUAAUACCGCAUACCAUCGGAUGUGCCACGAGGGGCUUGGCUAGUAGGUGGGGUACCGGCUCACCUAGGCGACGCUCCCUAGCUGGUCUGAUAGGAUGACCAGCCACACUGUAACUGGGACACUGUCCAGACGCCUACGGGAGGCAGCAGUGGGGAUGAUUGCAAAAUGGGCGCAAGCCUGGUGCAGCCAUGCCGCGUGUAUGAAGAAGGCCUUCGGGUUGUAAAGUACUUUCAGCGAGGAGGCGUUACUCGCAGAAGAAGCACCGGCUAACUCCGUGCCAGCAGCCGCGGUAAUAC
rnacentral:rRNA from 1 species